GCAUGUAGAGCUCAGUAUAGUAGAGCGAGUGCCUACCACGCACAAGGUCCUGGGUUCAAUCCCCAGUACCUCCA
rnacentral:tRNA from 1 species